AGGCAGCAGUGGGGAAUUUUGGACAAUGGGCGAAAGCCUGAUCCAGCAAUGCCGCGUGCAGGAUGAAGGCCCUCGGGUUGUAAACUGCUUUUGUACGGAACGAAAAGCCUGGGGCUAAUAUCCCCGGGUCAUGACGGUACCGUAAGAAUAAGCACCGGCUAACUACGUGCCAGCAGCCGCGGUAAUACGUAGGGUGCAAGCGUUAAUCGGAAUUACUGGGCGUAAAGCGUGCGCAGGCGGUUUUNGUAAGACAGUGGUGAAAUCCCCGGGCUCAACCUGGGAACUGCCANUUGUGACUGCAAGGCUAGAGUGCGGCAGAGGGGGAUGGAAUUCCGCGUGUAGCAGUGAAAUGCGUAGAUAUGCGGAGGAACACCGAUGGCGAAGGCAAUCCCCUGGGCCUGCACUGACGCUCAUGCACGAAAAGCGUGGGGGAGCAAACAGGAUUAGAUACCCUGGUAGUCCCACGCCCUAAACGAUGUCAACUGGUUGUUGGGUCUUNAACUGACUCAGUAACGAAGCUAACGCGUGAAGUUGANCCGNCCUGGGGAGUACGGNCCGCAAGGUUGAAACUCAAAGGAAUUGACGGGGNACCCGCACAAGCGGUNGGAUGAUGUGGUUUAAUUUCGAUGCAACGCGAAAAACCUUNACCCCACCUUUGACAUGGCAGGAACUUACCAGAGAUGGUUUGGUGCUCGAAAGAGAACCUGCACACAGGUGCUGCAUGGCUGUCGUCAGCUCGUGUCGUGAGAUGUUGGGUUAAGUCCCGCAACGAGCGCAACCCUUGCCAUUAGUUGCUACAUUCAGUUGAGCACUCUAAUGGGACUGCCGGUGACAAACCGGAGGAAGGUGGGGAUGACGUCAAGUCCUCAUGGCCCUUAUAGGUGGGGCUACACACGUCAUACAAUGGCUGGUACAAAGGGUUGCCAACCCGCGAGGGGGAGCUAAUCCCAUAAAGCCAGUCGUAGUCCGGAUCGCAGUCUGCAACUCGACUGCGUGAAGUCGGAAUCGCUAGUAAUCGUGGAUCAGAAUGUCACGGUGAAUACGUUCCCGGGUCUUGUACACACCGCCCGUCACACCAUGGGAGCGGGUCUCGCCAGAAGU
rnacentral:rRNA from 1 species